GCGUCUCCGCCUUCCCAGCAGCGCGAGACCCUCGCCAGGCUCUGAAGACGCGGCCUGGCCCUGGCCGUUCGGCCCUUCGUCUGAGCGCAAAGGCUCCAGCACCUCCGCGGCCGAAGCCGCGGGACUUUUCGUGGAAAAUGGGACCCAGCCCGAUCGCCAGCGGCGCUGCAGCGGACUCUGCGGGAACCUAGCUUCUGCUCCAGGACCUCCAGGGCCACCCCAGCUCGCAGGGCGUUCGCAGCGGCUCAGGGCGAAUCACGCUCAUGGUCCCCGUGCGCAUUUUCAGCCCCAGCCGGGGAGGGACCCAGAGCUGGAGGCUUAGCCCUGGAGAUACCGGUGAAGAUGGAUGAAUGAGAAACCAGUUGGAGCUUCCAAGGCCUGUCGUCCAUCAGGAGAAGCAAAAGGUUUUAUUCUAGAGACAAGUCCUUCCAACUGUACAGCUGAUGGAGUAGCCAAGGAAACCUGGACAGGAGGUAGCUUCUGACCUUUGGGAGCCAGAAGGGCCAGUAAAUGGAUUCUCUUCUCGGAGGCCUCCGCUAUCCACGUCACCUGAGGUGUCUUGGGGUCUUUCCAGAGACACAUAGAAGGUGCCAUCUAUGAGGAACAGGCCUUCACCAGACAUCAAAUCUGUUGGCAUCUUGAUCUUUGACUUCUCCACCGCCAGAACUAGAUCAAGACAUGAAACCCAUGUUCAAGAUACUUUCCAGUGUGUCUUCAUGUGAUCCUCUGAGUCCAGCCAUCAGGCUACCAGCAGCUCUUGGAAACCCUGACAUACUUAUUCUUAGAAGACUGCUUUCCGGACUCAAAGUGGAACCUCAAAUUUUCAAUUUUCUUUGUUUUUAAAGCCUACACAUAGGUGAUGAUAUAUACAUGCAUAUAUAUUUUGGAGAAUUUAUAAUUCUGAAAACAAUGCUGGUCUUAUGGAACCCAUCCAUUCCCCUUUCCCCGUGUGUGCUCCGAGCUGUGGUGGCACGUGAAAAGGGGUCCUUCCAGCAGUGGCCCACAGCCCUGGGCUGCUUACUUGCUCACUUCAUUUACAAGAGCAAGAAAUACACAUUCUUGUGUUGUUUAAGUCAUUAUGAUGUGGGGAUUUCCAUUACUCACACACCUGAUCUAGUAGUAACACAGUAGCCUAUUUUAGCAAUAUCAUUUAUUCAAUAAUCCAUUCUUUCCCCAUUAGUUUUGAGCCUUCAUUUAUUGUGUACUAAGUUCUGGUUAUUUUUAGUGGUUGUAAUCUCCUUCUUUCCUACUCUCUUAAUCAUGGGAUUGCCAAUAUCUGCUCUGUGUUUCUGUGCCAUCUAUAGCCUCUGGCCUUGGUACUGCUUCAAAACUGAUAUUUCUAACCUUACUUUGACUUCUCCAUUCAGUGAAGUUCCCAUAGUUCAUCACUCAACUGCUCUCUUUCCAUCGUGACCUUCUGAACUAGCUCACACCCAGAUGUACUUUUGUUAUCUGCCUUUCCCCCUCAUAAACAUGGGCUGCUGCUGGGGAAAAUCCACUACCGAACUCUUGCAGGUCUCUGCAAAUGUUUAAUGCCCUGUCUUAGCCAUGACCUCCACAAUGCUGGGCUAUCCUAUGUUAUGUCCCCUAAGAUAUCCCUUCUCUCUUACCUUUGGGGAUAGUCCUAAGCUUCCAUCAUGGCACUCAAAGUCCAACCUUAUUUGUACCCUCAUUCUCUGAGCAGACACCACCGUAUUCUGUUUCACAGAGAAAAUGUGACUGCUGGGGAUAAUUCUUUCAACUUCCUGGCCUCUUCCUAUACAUGAUCUUUCUCUGUAUUCUUGCCUAUUGCUCUUCCAUGUUGAUAGAAGUGUCUGUUCUCCUUGUCAGUGUCUCGGCCUUGGAUCUGUCCCCUAGACUAUUCUGCCUGUGUAAGGACCUUCCCUGACCAGCUGGGCCACCAUCUCCUGCUUCUCCAAUCCCUCACUCUAGACUGACUCUUAACCUUUGGUCAACAAUACUUGAGCUUUUACAUUCAUAAUGGAGCAUCUGUGUUGAACCUUGUUCUUUUCUAGACACUACCCUCCGUUCUGUCUUCCAUCCAUGGUGACUUUUCUAGAAAGAGCAUCUAUCACACUGGAGACAGCAAACUCCUUGAUCCAUUCUAAUUCCUAACCCUGCAAUAAUUUUCUAUCUCCCUUACUCAAGUAAUUGGGAGUGCUCCUAGUGUUACCAGAGACCCAGCAGUUCCCAAUUUCGAAUUUUUCCGUAUUCACAUUUCUUGACUUGCUAUGAUUUUACAUCACAGAUUACAUCCUUCAUUUGAAGAGACUCUAAUGGAAGGCUGCCAUGGAAACUCUCUCAUGUGGCUGACCUCCUACCUCACUUGCUCUUUCUGAAUGAAGUUCCCACUUUUGCCUGCCUUAAUGAAAGUAAUGCUCCCCAAACUCAAGCCCAGGGCUGCGAAUUGGAAGCAGCUGGGGCUACUGUUUCUGGGUGCUGGUGUGAAUGGCAGGAUGUGAACACCAGCCUGUGACGGGCAAAAAGAUGGACACACAGGCAGAGCCUGACAGGUGCUGGUGGUCCUAUCUGGUCCUGAGUUGCUGGGACCCUCCUUGCCCACUGCCCCUAGAAUGGACUUUGGCCUCAGGUUCGAAGUGUUCAGAUGUGACUGAGAUGAGCCUUUUCCCCAUGCCUCAGGAAUAGCGAAGAAACUCUAUCUGGAAGGUUCCCCAGGCUUCCCCACCCAGCAGCCUCUGGUAUUAGACCAGGCAGUGGCUGGCCAGGAUGGUGGGGACAGAAGGGAGACAAAGGUGAGCAGUGGGUGGGGUCACAUCCUCCCUGACAUUGAAUAGACAACAUGGGGAGGAAGGAUGAGUGAUCUUUAGAAUGUUCAUGGAAAAUGCAUAUUGGGAAAAAGAAUGCAUG
ensembl:lncRNA LNCOC1 lncRNA associated with ovarian cancer 1